rnacentral:tRNA from 1 species
GCACCCAUGGCUCAAUUGGAUAGAGCACCUGACUACGGAUUAGGAGGUUGGGGGUUCGAAUCCCUCUGGGUGCACCA